CGUAGAUCACCCGUGGCAGCGGGAACAUUGCGCCUAACAAACUGAAACAAUUGCUCGAUGAAGUCAAAGUGUUGUCGUUGUGUGUCGCCUAUAUUAAAAAGAAUCUUACACAAGAGGCGUAAAUUGACACAAGAGUUCUAAUAUGCGAAUAUUAAUACUACGCAGUGGAUGUUACCUGGAGCAAAGCCCGCAAAUUGCGCCGAUCGAGACGACCCACUUCGCCCAUUCCCAAUUUACCAUUACGAACAAAUGUGGAAACGGCGCGUCGGCAUCUUGCUCGUAAUAAGGCAGUACGGUCGUGAGUAUAGCCGAAACGCUGAAGUAUGCUAAGAAGACAACCGUCAAAGAUGCGACGAUGGCGACCGGGAUGGAUCUCUGUGGGUUCUUGGCUUCUUCUCCCGUGGUGGCCACACAGUCGAAACCAAUGAAUCCGUAGAAGCACUUUGCUGCACCGGCUAUAAUACCUUCGAUACCGUAAGGAGCGAAUCCGCCGGUUCCAUAUUCGCAAUCCUCUUUUGUGCACUCACGUUGCGUUUCCCAGUUCUUAAUGUCAGCUGCAUGUCGUUACAAUCGUUAGAAAUCGUUACAUAUGAUAUUUUUAAGUUAAAAUCGAGGUCGGUAGAGAUAACUAAUUAGUUACGUAUAUAAUUCUUGGAACGUUUUUCGAACUUCCUCAGUCGUGCGAGAAUUUGAUCGCCAAAAGAGUUUUAAUUUUGGCUAAGAGGUCGAUAAAUAUUGGUAGAAAAAGGUUUGAAUCUCGGUUAAAUGACAACUUUUAAUUCUAAAAUCUCUGCUGCGAGCCGCUACCGUACCUACUGAGAUUUUAAGAUCAUGAUACAAUUCGACACAAGUCAGAUAUACUUUAUAUUCGUACUUUAAAUUCAACGAACUGCAACUUUCGAGAAAAUAAUAACAGUGAGAUGGUUCGAGAAGCAUUUUAAAGGUUGAAGUCUUUACUUUUUAGCCAUAUUAAAUUUUUUUGCGCAUAAUUUUUUAUUUAUAAAAUGCAAUUCGACAAAAUUCAUAAAAAAUGACAUUUUACGAAUAUACAUUUAUACUCUUGUAGUGUCAAUAACAAUCAAAUACACUUGAUAUCCGGAAAUGUCUGGAAACUAGAGGUUUUAAGCUAUAAAUUGCUUCUUAAAUCAUCUCAUUUUCAUUAUCUUUUUCAAAGUUAUAAUUUGUUGAAUUUUAGUCAUAUUUUAUGAUCGUUUUUAUUUAUUAUUCUAAUAUUCUGAAAAGAAAGUUUACAAGAAGGAAGCAAAUAGAAGAAUAUACCUUUGAAGGAUCCAGCAAUAACGACGAAGAGCACGACGCCAAGGUUUACUAGCGUGAAGAUGUUGUUCGCUAACGUGGAUUCCUUGGCUCCAAAGGCAAGCGCGGCUGAGAAGAAGAUCAUAAAUUGCUUUAGCUACUUUUUUUCCUUCUGUUACACAAUCGUGUAACGAAUCAAGAAGUUACCAGUAAUGACGCCUCAGUAUGUAAUAAUACAGACAUGGUCGUCUCGCUUGAUUGAAAAAACUGCCUAAUUACCUGCAAACACCAGGGUGAUGGCGAAAGCGAAGAAAUCCGGGUACGGUGACAUGAACUCGAUAUCGAUCGGCGCCGCCGAUGUGAAGGCAUUUUUCAUGGUGUAAUUGAAGAGCGCGUCGACGUACGUGCUGAGACCACGCACAACGCUGGCUGUACCGAUUACGUAUUCCAGAAUCAGGGUCCAGCCGAUGAUAAACGCCACGAAUUCGCCCAUAGUGACGUAACUGUACACGUACGCGGAUCCAGCGCGUGGCACUCGUGCGCCGAAUUCGGCGUAACAGAAGCCUGUAAAGACAAUAACUUCAUAUCUGAGAGAACAGUAUGAUUAGGAAAUGCUAAAAAUCAAUUAA